rnacentral:rRNA from 1 species
UGGGAUUAGAUACCCUGUUAUUUAAAAUGUAAUUAUAAAGACUAAGGUAGUAUUAGAUAUGUUCUUUAAACUUAAAAAAUUUGGCGGUAUUUUAGUCUAUUCAGAGGAACCUGUUUUGUAAUCGAUAAUCCACGAUGGACCUUACUUAAGUUUGUUAAUCAGUUUAUAUACCGUUGUUAUUAGAAUAUUUUAUAAGAAUGUUAAUUUUCAUAAUUUUUAUAUAAAAAGUAUAUCAAAUCAAGGUGUAGCUUAUAUUUAAGUAUAAAUGGGUUACAAUAAAUUUAUUUAAACGGAUAUAAAUUUGAAAUGUUUAUUUAAGAUGGAUUUGAUAGUAAAAUUAUAUAGAUAAAUAAUUUGAUUUUAGCUCUAAAAUAUGCACAAAUCGCCCGUCACUCUCUGA